AAGGAACUGAGCCCUCACAACAAGAGCAGCAUUCUUUUGGUGGAGAUGGCGUUCUCCCAGACCUCUUAAUUCCUCUCUCAGACCUUGGACUACCUGUCGCCCAUCCCUUUCUGGCCUACAUUUCCCAGCACCAGCUCUCCAGCACAGCACUUUGGACCUCGGCUGCCCUCACCAGACCCAACUCUCUUCUGCAGCCUGCUGACCUCGUGGCCCCCUAGGUUCAGUCAUCUGACCCAGCUCCACCCUCGGCACCAACGAAUCUUGCAGCAGCAGCAGCAUAGUCAAACACCAAGUCCCCCAGCCAAGAAGCCUUGGUCUCAGCAGCCAGACCCCUAUGCUAACCUCAUGACCAGAAAAGAGAAGGACUGGGUGAUAAAAGUGCAGAUGGUGCAGCUGCAGAGUGCAAAACCCCGCCUGGAUGACUACUAUUACCA
rnacentral:lncRNA from 1 species